GAAUAUUGCACAAUGGGCGCAAGCCUGAUGCAGCGACGCCGCGUGGGCGAAGAAGGUUUUCGGAUCGUAAAGCCCUUUUCUGCGUGACGAUGAUGACGGUAGCGCAGGCAGACGUGGCCGCUAACUACGUGCCCGCAGCCGCGGUCAAACGUAGGACGCGAACGUUAUCCGGAAUUACUGGGCGUAAAGGGCGCGCCGGCGGUCGGGUAAGUUAGGCAUGAAAGCUCCCUGGCUAAACCGGGAGAGGCUGUCUGAUACUGCCGGACUGGAGUGUGGUAGAGGGGUGUAGAAUUCUGCGUGUAGUGGUGAAAUGCGUAGAUAUGCGGAGGAAUACCAGUGGCGAAGGCGGCACCCUGGACCACAACUGACGCUGAGGCGCGAAAGCAUGGGUAGCGAACGGG
rnacentral:rRNA from 1 species